GACGAACGCUGGCGGCGUGCUUAACACAUGCAAGUCGUACGGUAAGGCCCUUUCGGGGGUACACGAGUGGCGAACGGGUGAGUAACACGUGAGUAACCUGCCCACAACUUUGGGAUAACGCUAGGAAACUGGUGCUAAUACUGGAUAUGUGCUCCUGCUGCAUGGUGGGGGUUGGAAAGCUCCGGCGGUUGUGGAUGGACUCGCGGCCUAUCAGCUUGUUGGUGGGGUAGUGGCCUACCAAGGCGGCGACGGGUAGCCGGCCUGAGAGGGUGACCGGCCACAUUGGGACUGAGAUACGGCCCAGACUCCUACGGGAGGCAGCAGCGGGGAAUAUUGCACAAUGGGCGCAAGCCUGAUGCAGCAACGCCGCGUGCGGGAGGACGGCCUUCGGGUUGUAAACCGCUUUCAGCAGGGACGAAGCUUUUUGUGACGGUACCUGCAGAAGAAGCACCGGCUAACUACGUG
rnacentral:rRNA from 1 species